rnacentral:rRNA from 1 species
AACGAACGCUGGCGGCAUGCCUAACACAUGCAAGUCGAACGAGACCUUCGGGUCUAGUGGCGCACGGGUGCGUAACGCGUGGGAACCUGCCCUUAGGUUCGGAAUAACUCCCCGACAGGGGUGCUAAUACCGGAUAAUGUCUUCGGACCAAAGAUUUAUCGCCUUUGGAUGGGCCCGAGUUGGAUUAGCUAGUUGGUAGGGUAAAAGCCUACCAAGGCGACGAUCCAUAGCUGGUCUGAGAGGAUGAUCAGCCACACUGGGACUGAGACACGGCCCAGACUCCUACGGGAGGCAGCAGUGGGGAAUAUUGGACAAUGGGCGAAAGCCUGAUCCAGCAAUGCCGCGUGAGUGAUGAAGGCCUUAGGGUUGUAAAGCUCUUUUACCCGGGAUGAUAAUGACAGUACCGGGAGAAUAAGCUCCGGCUAACUCCGUG